UCGAAUAGGGUGCAAGGAGCGGGGGGAAGGAGGAGGGGGAGAGGGGGGUCCGGAGUUAGUGGGCGUAAACGGCUCGCAGGUGGCCCGAUGCGUCGUGCGUGAAAGACCCCGGCUCAACCGGGGGGGGUCGGGCGAUACGGGCGGGCUGGAGGCCAGUAGGGGGAUGCGGAAUUCCGGGUGUAGUGGUGGAAUGCGUAGAGAUCCGGAGGAACACCAGCGGCGAAGGCGGCAUCCUGGACUGGUCCUGACACUCAGGAGCGAAAGCGUGGGGAGCGAUCCGGAUUAGAUACCCUUGUAGUC
rnacentral:rRNA from 1 species